AAACUCCAAAACCAAGUAGGAUUUAGUCUCAAAAUUCGCAGCUUUCUGUUCUGUCCAGUUUUCGGGCCUUUACAGUUGGACUUUGCUUCUUGGACUACUUCUGAAUUAAAGAGAAUUUCAAGGGCUUCGCGUGGGCUGUAAGAUCGUCCAAUUCUGACACCCGGAACUCAAGAUAUGGCCCAAACAGUGUAGAAAUCGGGUA
rnacentral:lncRNA from 1 species